AUGGUAGCUCGUAGGAAAACACUGCAGAACUCCAAUGAUGACUAUCCAAAGAUAGUGGACUUCAUCAGUCGGUUUACGGUCCAUCAUAUCAAUGUGAACUUCUCUUGCAGAAAGCAUCGAGCCAAUAGAGCAGAUGUUCACAGUGGGAGCAUGUCUUCAAGGCUAGAUGCUAUUAGGAAUGUCUAUGGGGCUUCGGUUGUUCGUGAUCUGAUGGUAAUACAUGUUUCAGAUGAUGCUGUAGAUGAAAUAUUCAAGAUGGAUGGUUUCAUCUCGAAUGCAAAUUAUGUGGCAAAAAAGACUACUAUGAUUCUUUUCAUAAAUGAUAGACUUGUAGACUGCACUUCUUUGAAAAGGGCUACUGAAUUUGUGUACUCUGCAAUACUGCCUCAAGCAUCCAAACCCUUCAUAUACUCCAUCAAUCUUCCACCAGAACACAUGGAUGUCAAUAUACAUCCAACCAAAACGGCGGCUAGCCUCUUAAAUCAAUGGUGUAUUAUUGAUUUUUUUAAAGAUGCUAUUGAGGAAAAACUGAUGAACUGUAAUAACACAAGGAUAUUCCAAACUCAGGCACUAACCUCUGCGCUUACUCAAGCUAACACACUAAAGGAUAUGGGUACCGAGGUCAGCACCCCUACUGGAGAAAAAUCUCAAAAGGUUCCUGUGAGCCAAAUGGUCAGAACAGAUCCACGCGAUCCAUCUGGAAGGUUGCACACCUAUUGGCAAGGUCAAUCUUCAAAUCUAGAAAAGAAAUCUGACCUUGUUUCGGUAAGAAAUAUUGUAAGAUCAAGAAGAAAUCCAAAAGAUGCUGGUGAUUUGUCCAGUCGCCAUGAGCUUCUUACAGAAAUAGAUUCUAACUUAUAUCCCGGCCUUUUCGAUAUUUUUAAGAAUUGCACAUAUGUUGGAGUUGCCAAUGAAGUUUUAGCUUUGAUACAACACAAUACCCUCUUAUACCUUGUCAACGUGGUAAAUGUUCGGUAA
rnacentral:rRNA from 1 species